rnacentral:rRNA from 1 species
CAAAGAUUAAGCCAUGCAUGUCUAAGUACAUACUUUUACAUGGUGAAACCGCGAAUGGCUCAUUAAAUCAGUUAUGGUUCCUUAGAUCGUACAAUCCUACUUGGAUAACUGUGGUAAUUCUAGAGCUAAUACAUGAAACUGGCGCUCCGACCCAUCGGGAAAGAGCGCGUUUAUUAGAACAAGACCAGUCGGGGUUCUGCCCCGUAAGAUUGGUGAUACUGAAUAACUUUGUGCAGAUCGCACGGCCUCGCGCCGGCGACGUAUCUUUCAAAUGUCUGCCCUAUCAACUGUCGAUGGUACGUGAUAUGCCUACCAUGGUUGUAACGGGUAACGGGGAAUCAGGGUUCGAUUCCGGAGAGGGAGCAUGAGAAACGGCUACCACAUCC